GAUGAAGAACGUAGCGAAAUGCGAUAAGUAAUGUGAAUUGCAGAAUUCAGUGAAUCAUCGAAUCUUUGAACGCACCUUGCGCCCUUUGGCCAUUCCGAAGGGCAUGCCUGUUUGAGUAUCAUGAACACCUCAACUCUUUAUGGUUUUCCAUGAUGAGCUUGGACUCUGGGGGUUUUGCUGGCUCACAGUCGGCUCCUCUAAAAUGAAUCAGCUUACCAGUGUUUGGUGGGUAUCAUGGGUGUGAUAACUAUCUACGCUUGUGGUUUUUCCACCAGGUAACCUUCAGCAGUGGAGGUUCGCUGGAGCUCAUAGAUGUCUCUCCUCAGUGAGGACAGCCCUUUGAAUGUUUGAUCUCAAAUCAGGUAGGACUACCCGCUGAACUUAAGCAUAUCAAUAAGCGGAGGA
rnacentral:misc_RNA from 1 species